GUGCGCAUGUCCUGCCAAAAAGACGAGGAGGACAGGGAUUUCAACCAACCCCUGUCCGGCCCAGUUUGGCGGGGCAAGUCAUCCAGCACCUCUCCGUGGUGCGCACUAGUAACCGCUUUCUUGCGGGCUAAGCUGGAUG
rnacentral:ribozyme from 1 species